GGCCCAAGAGCUGCCCCCGGACGUCGCGCUUCCUUUUCCGCGCUGCCGCCGAGGGGGUAAGGUUACCGAAGGAGCGUCCGUUAUGCCGGCGGGACGGCGUCCGAGCUUGCGCGCCCGUAGCUGGGCUCUCGGAGGUGAGAAAAAGCCUAUGAGUUUUGAAGGUGUGUGAAGGUCAUUGUGACAAUGUUUUCCAAAAUCCUAUAGAAGAUGGCAGUGAAAAAGCUAAGACCACCACUGCAUGUAUUAAAGCAGAUAGGUAGCUGCAGAUGAGUGUACUUCAGCUGUGGUUUUUGAAAAUACUUCUUCAUCGCCUCAAGUGUGGUAUGCAACAUUUGGAAGAAGGAAUGAAGACUUCAAGAAAACACAUGAACAGAAGCAAGUGAUGCAAAUGAAUGUUUUACUUGAUAUUAACAUCACAAUAAAUUAUGCAGAAAAUA